rnacentral:rRNA from 1 species
GAUGAACGCUGGCGGCGUGCCUAAUACAUGCAAGUCGAGCGAACAGAUGAGGAGCUUGCUCCUCUGACGUUAGCGGCGGACGGGUGAGUAACACGUGGAUAACCUACCUAUAAGACUGGGAUAACUUCGGGAAACCGGAGCUAAUACCGGAUAAUAUAUUGAACCGCAUGGUUCAAUAGUGAAAGACGGUUUUGCUGUCACUUAUAGAUGGAUCCGCGCCGCAUUAGCUAGUUGGUAAGGUAACGGCUUACCACGGCAACGAUGCGUAGCCGACCUGAGAGGGGGAUCGGCCACACUGGAGCUGACACGCGGUCCAGACUCCACGGGAGGCAGCAGUAGGGAAUCUGCCGCAAUGGGCGAAAGCCUGACGGAGCAGCGCCGCGUGAGUGAUGAAGGUCUUCGGAUCGUAAAACUCUGUUAUUAGGGAAGAACAAAUGUGUAAGUAACUAUGCACGUCUUGACGGUACCGAAUCAGAAAGCCACGGCUAACUACGUG